rnacentral:rRNA from 1 species
UACGAAGGGGGCUAGCGUUGCUCGGAAUCACUGGGCGUAAAGCGCACGUAGGCGGACUCUUAAGUCGGUGGUGAAAUCCUGGAGCUCAACUCCAGAACUGCCUUCGAUACUGAGAGUCUCGAGUCCGGGAGAGGUGAGUGGAACUGCGAGUGUAGAGGUGAAAUUCGUAGAUAUUCGCAAGAACACCAGUGGCGAAGGCGGCUUACUGGUCCGGAACUGACGCUGAGGUGCGAAAGCGUGGGGAGCAAACAGG